rnacentral:rRNA from 1 species
CGAACGGGGAUGCCAUUUUUGAAGCGAUUAGCUUGCUAAGAGUGGAAAUGUUGGCAUCUUAGUGGCGGACGGGUGAGUAACGCGUGGGGAACCUGCCCUGUACAGGGGGAUAACACUUAGAAAUAGGUGCUAAUACCGCAUAAGCGCACAGUAUCGCAUGAUACAGUGUGAAAAACUCCGGUGGUACAGGAUGGACCCGCGUCUGAUUAGCUGGUUGGCGGGGUAACGGCCCACCAAGGCGACGAUCAGUAGCCGGCCUGAGAGGGUGAACGGCCACAUUGGGACUGAGACACGGCCCAAACUCCUACGGGAGGCAGCAGUGGGGAAUAUUGGACAAUGGGGGGAACCCUGAUCCAGCGACGCCGCGUGAGUUGAAGAAGUAUUUCGGUAUGUAAAGCUCUAUCAGCAGGGAAGGAAAUGACGAUACCUGACUAAGAAGCCCCGGCUAACUACGUGCCAGCAGCCGCGGUAAUACGUAGGGGGCAAGCGUUAUCCGGAUUUACUGGGUGUAAAGGGAGCGUAGACGGUGCAGCAAGUCUGAUGUGAAAGGUCGGGGCCCAACCCCGGGACUGCAUUCCACACUGUUGAACUGGAGUACAGGAGAGGUAAGCGGAAUUCCUAGUGUAG